rnacentral:rRNA from 1 species
CAAAGAACUUUGAAGAGAGAGUUCAAGAGUACGUGAACCGCUCGGAGCAAACGGGUGGGCCCUCGAAGCUCGAACGGGGGGAUUCAACCCGUCGGCAGAUCUGGUCGCGCGUCACAAACCGUGAAGCGAAGGACGGAUUCCGAACGGAACCGUGGCACGGUGUCUACGUAAUUGGCGAUCGCCGGCGGGCGCACUUCCCUCCUAGUAGAACGCUGCGACCGGUCGGGUCCGCUGCCCUGCCAUGGGACGAGGGAAGGUAUCCGUGCCGGUCCCCUUCGCGCGCAAGCGCGUCGGGUCCGGUCGGAAUUAUAACCCGUCUCGCUCUGGUUGCCGCCCGACCGCGAAACUACGUGCCCGCGCCUUCGGGGGUAAGGCGCGCGGUCUGCCAGGCCAGGCUUGGCUGCCGAACACCCAACGUCCUGGUGGUCGGCAAGUCCACCGUCGCCGGCCGUUGGUCGAGCAGGCUGCUGUCGUGGUGGCGCUCGUUGUCAGCGGCGAGUAGGUCGGUAACCCACCCGACCCGUCUUGAAACACGGACCAAGGAGUCUAACAUGUGCGCAAGUCGUUGGGUCGUCUUACAAAACCCGUCGGCGCAAUGAAAGUGAAGGCCAGCUCGU